UUCCAAGGGUAGCAUUGAUAGGAGUUGGU
rnacentral:piRNA from 1 species